AUUGAACGCUGGCGGCAGGCCUAACACAUGCAAGUCGAACGGAGCGGCGGACGGGUGAGUAAUGCCUAGGAAUCUGCAUGGUGGUGGGGGAUAACGUCGGGAAACGGGCGCUAAUACCGCAUACUAUCAGAUGAGGCUAGGGCGGAUUAGCUAGUUGGUGGGGUAAAGGGCUACCAAGGCGACGAUCCGUAACUGGUCUGAGAGGAUGCUAAGUCACACUGGAACGUAGACACGGUCCAGACUCCUACGGGAGACAGCAGUGGGGAGUAUUGGACAAUGGGCGCAAGCCUGAUCCAGCGAUGCGGCGUGUGUGAAGAAGGUCUUCGGAUUGUAAAGCACUUUAAGUUGGGAGGCGUUACCAACAGAAUAAGCACCGGCUAACUUCGUGCCAGCAGCCGCGGUAAUAC
rnacentral:rRNA from 1 species